CGUGAGGGAUGACGGCCUUCGGGUUGUAAACCUCUUUUAGCAGGGAAGAAGCGAAAGUGACGGUACCUGCAGAAAAAGCGCCGGCUAACUACGUGCCAGCAGCCGCGGUAAUACGUAGGGCGCAAGCGUUAUCCGGAAUUAUUGGGCGUAAAGAGCUCGUAGGCGGUCUGUCGCGUCUGCUGUGAAAACCCGAGGCUCAACCUCGGGCCUGCAGUGGGUACGGGCAGACUAGAGUGCGGUAGGGGAGAUUGGAAUUCCUGGUGUAGCGGUGGAAUGCGCAGAUAUCAGGAGGAACACCGAUGGCGAAGGCAGAUCUCUGGGCCGUAACUGACGCUGAGGAGCGAAAGGGUGGGGAGCAAACAGGCUUAGAUACCCUGGUAGUCCACCCCGUAAACGUUGGGAACUAGUUGUGGGGUCCAUUCCACGGAUUCCGUGACGCAGCUAACGCAUUAAGUUCCCCGCCUGGGGAGUACGGCCGCAAGGCUAAAACUCAAAGGAAUUGACGGGGACCCGCACAAGCGGCGGAGCAUGCGGAUUAAUUCGAUGCAACGCGAAGAAC
rnacentral:rRNA from 1 species